GAUAUCACAUUUUAUAUGCAUGGACUGGAUUCGAACCUGGGAUUCCUCACUUGUUCACUUUAAGAUGUGAAUUUUUAGUCAUUAGACUACUUGACCAAAAAAAAGUAUUUGAAAUGAAUUGUGUAAAGGUACUUGAACUCAGGUUACAUUGAUGUAAUUUAACUUAAUUUAUGUAAAUGUUAACAUACUUGAAUUGAGUUUGCAUAAACAUCAUUGAACUAAAUUUACGUAAAUAUACUUGAACUGAGUUUUUGUAAACAUACUUGUAUUGAUUUUGCAUAAGAUAAACACGCAUAAGUGAUUUUACAUACGAUUAAAAAUAUAAGUUUCAUGUAUUACUAGAUUGACUAAAUAUAAAUCCGUGCAAUAUCACAUGUGUUGAUAUGGAUUUACUAUUAAUAUUAAUAGAAGUUAAAUUAACCGGUCCCCGUGAGCUCAGGGACAUCGCAUUUUAUAUGCAGGGGUUGAGGUUCGAAUUCGAACCCCGGACACCCCACUUAGCCAUUGGGUUACUUGACCAAAAAAGUUAAAUUAACCAUGAAACUUAAAUACAAAAAAAUAAAAAUUGGUC
rnacentral:lncRNA from 1 species